AUGAUUGCGAGGACAAUCUCUAAGAAGACCUUUAAACCUCUCCCAUGCCUAAUACAGAUUCUCUCCAUUUUUCUGCCUGAAUGAUAUGAUCUCCUUCCGGAGCCU